CACGGGGGGAGCAAGCGUUGUUCGGAAUCACUGGGCGUAAAGGGCGUGUAGGCGGAUAGGUUAGUGGGAUGUGAAAUGCCCCGGCUCACCCGGGGACCGGCAUCCCAAACUGCCUGUCUUGAGUAUGGGAGAGGAUGAGGGAAUUCCUGGUGUAGCGGUGAAAUGCGUAGAUAUCAGGAGGAACACCGGUGGCGAAGGCGCUCAUCUGGCCCAAUACUGACGCUGGAUGACGCGAAAGCUAGGGGAGCAAACGGG
rnacentral:rRNA from 1 species